rnacentral:lncRNA from 1 species
UUGGGGAAACCAAGUUGCAUCAAGUUCAAGGAACAGGUCUCCACUUGCACGGUGUCUGUAGCAGAACCAGGACCAGAAUUUUUGAUCUUUGACUGUUGCUCUAGAUGCUCAACUACUUUGUACUCUGUGCUUUGUUUGGGUGGAAGGAGACUUGCCUGAAACCUGGCACGGAUCUCUACUGAUUAGAAGCUGCUACUCUGACAGUUAUUUAAUGUUUCAGAAGCAAGGAGCUGGUGGGAAAAACUCUGCCAUUUGGUACAGAAGAAGGUUUGUUCCUCCAUUAGUUAAGGAUUUUGUGGCACCUGGCUUGGAUUCAGCCAACCGGACAAAGAGGAAACAGACCUCACAUCUUGACCUUUCUCCUGCACCCAGGCAAUGCUUCAGAUGGAGGACGAUGUGGAUGGCACUGGAUUUCGUGGCAGAAGGAAAGAGUGCAGGAGACUACUCCCCAGUUCACUUGAUUUUUACCUGAUGAUUUACAAGGUGAACUGCAAGAGCAAAGCAAAAAUGAAACCUAAUUAAGCACCAGUUGCUGGGCUGAGAUCCUCCUCUGGGAAGGCAAUGUGGCACAGUCAGAAGAGAAGGACAUUAUGUGCCCCGUAUUUGAAAAAUUGUUUCGUGCCUGUAGACUCUUCUCUAGGUCUGUUUGCUUCCCUGACAUGUCAUCAUUCAACAAUAUAAAUAGAUUAUUAUUAUUUUUUUAAUUGCAGUGACUGUGAACUGCAAAUUUGAUUUAUCUUUUUAUUUAUUUAUUUAUUCACUUAGGAAGAGGAAAG